AGAAAAUGGGGAUAUAUACCGAAGCACGCUAGCUGCAAUAAGAGCCAUUCAGGGACUAAAGAAAGCAAGCUCAACACAUAACCCGCUGUCAUUUUCAUCUAAUUCUGGGAACCAAGAUAAUGAUAGCCCAGGUGCUGUAACAGCAGAAGACUCCGAUUCUGACUCAUUGGUUGCCUCUCAGAAUGGUGAAGAGAUGAAUCGUGAAGUUUCCAGUUCACCAAAAUAGAGUUGACUGAUCUUGUUUUGUUUUGUUCAUUAUGUAGUGUAGUGCUAAAACUGUGCACUUUCUGUGUUGUGUGCUAUAGGUCUGAAU
rnacentral:misc_RNA from 1 species